UAUUGCUAAAAACUAUAAAAAUUAAAAAAAAAGUAUAAGCGCACCCUAAUUAAACCAUGAAAAGUAUAACAGCGCCUAAUUUUCCACCACACAAAAAUAGCUCAAAGGUGAGUAUUUUGACAGAUGAAAAUUAUGUAAAAAAAAAAAUGGGAGGCACAGAUGAGAUAUAUAGCGCCAACAAAUAAAAACAAUUAAUCUGAAACAUCAAACCAACUUGCAUUUCCAAAUGGACCAUUCACACGACAGCAUGGAUGUUCUGUAUGAAUCUACUCUACCUGCUGGGCGCUCAACGCAAACAAAAUCGUUUCUUUUGUUCAAUUUAUUAACAAAGACAAAAAAUGUUUACUUAUAAUUAA